GAACCAGGUUUAUGAUGACAAGUCAAAUAAGGUGACCAUCACCGUAGAUGCUGCAACCCCGAGAGAUUCGUUGACAAGCUGUGGUUGCAAGGUGGCAAAACAAUCAGAGCAUUGAAUCAUACACCCUCAUCAAAGCCCAAAGAGCCCGAGAAGCCAAGGCCCCAAGAAGCCCAAGAGCAGAAAGCCCGGAGGUAGUUUCCAGUACCGGCUCCUGCUCCUGCUCCUGCUCCGGCACCGGCACCAGCGCCUAAGCCACCGGCUCCGGCUUCGGCACCGGCACCGGAAACACUUAUUGAACAGUUGAGGCGCAGGGAUCUCGACGGUCCCAUUGAACCGUUGAGGCCACCGCCACCGCCACCGGCUCCGGCUCCGGCUCCGGCUCCGGCUCCGGCACCGGCUCCGGCACCGGAAAAACCUAUUGAACCGUUGAGGCCCAGGGAUCCCGACGGUCCCAUUGAACUGUUGGAGCCCAAGGAGCCGGUUUCUAUGUUUCCGGUUGGAUGUCGUGGGCAAUGUUACGAAGGAAAUUAUGGGGGGCCAUGUUAUCACGGGUAUGGAAGGCCCGUGCCAUUCUAUGAUGGGUAUGGAUACCACAUGAGUCGGUGCGAUUAUUUUAAUGAAGAAAGUCAGUUAGGAUGCACAAUCAUGUAAUGGGUACCACCGUACCAGUGCUGUUGUUAUGGUCAAGGUUUAUCGAUUCUCUUUGUUGAAAAAACAUGCCCCCAAUUUGUUUUCAAUUGUUAUGGUGGUGAACUUGUUUUUUACUAUAUUAUAAUAAGAUAAAAUCAGUUAGGAAUGCCAAUCAUGUAAUGGGUUACCAGUGCUGUUUUAUGGUCAAGGUUUAUCGAUUCUCUUUGUUGAAAAAAACAAAUGCCCAAUUUGGUUUCGAGUUUAUGGUGGUGGACAUUGUGUUUUUUACUCGAGAUUAUAAUGAGAACAUCAUUUUAGGAUGCACAAUCAUGUAAUGGUACCAGUCUGUUUUAUGGUCAAGGUUUAUCGAUUCCUUUUUGAAAAAAACAAAUGCCCAAUUUGUUUUCGAGUGUAUGGUGGUGGAACUUGUUUUUUACCUAUAUUAUAAUGAAGAAAAUCAGUUAGGAUGCACAAUCAUGUAAUGGGUACCAGUGCUGUUGUUAUGGUCAAGGUUUAUCGAUUCUCUUUGUUGAAAAAAAACAAAUGCCCAAUUUGUUUUCAAGUGUAUGGUGGUGGAACUUGUUUUUUACCU
rnacentral:lncRNA from 1 species